CAGCCGCCGCGGGAAUACGUAGGGUGCAAGCGUUAAUCGGAAUUACUGGGCGUAAAGCGUGCGCAGGCGGUUAUAUAAGACAGAUGUGAAAUCCCCGGGCUCAACCUGGGAACUGCAUUUGUGACUGUAUAGCUAGAGUACGGCAGAGGGGGAUGGAAUUCCGUGUGUAGCAGUGAAAUGCGUAGAUAUGCGGAGGAACACCGAUGGCGAAGGCAAUCCCCUGGGCCUGUACUGACGCUCAUGCACGAAAGCGUGGGGAGCAAACAGGAUUAGAUACCCGUGUAGUCCCUGUCUCUUAUAC
rnacentral:rRNA from 1 species